rnacentral:rRNA from 1 species
UACGAAGGGGGCUAGCGUUGUUCGGAAUCACUGGGCGUAAAGCGCACGUAGGCGGAUCUUUAAGUCAGGGGUGAAAUCCCGAGGCUCAACCUCGGAACUGCCUUUGAUACUGGGGAUCUCGAGUUCGAGAGAGGUGAGUGGAACUGCGAGUGUAGAGGUGAAAUUCGUAGAUAUUCGCAAGAACACCAGUGGCUGAAGGCGGCUCACUGGCCCGGGUACUGACGCUGAGGUGCGAAAGCGUGGGAGCAAACAGG